GGCACAAGUAGUUUACUCGAACUAUUUUUCAGUCAUAACAAACAUUCAAGAAAGCAUGAGCAUUUGCCAUUUACAAAGUCUGUUCAACUCUGCACAUGUACAAGUACCAUUCAAAUCUGAUCAAUUCAGCAGAACUAGAGUAACAACAGAGCUUUUACAGCAGAACUACAACAGAGUAGAACACUAGUUCAGUCAUACAGAGCUUUUCUGUUUUUACUCUGAAAAAUUUCGUACAGCAAGACCAAAUGCAAGCAGCCGAGCAGAUGGCCCGCAGAAGCCUUGACGGCGUUGGCUUCGUGGCCUCGGCAGCUCGGGGGCGUUGACGGCGCCGGCUCCGCAGCUCCACGGCCUCGACGGCGCCGGAUCCGCAGCUCCAUGGCCUCGACGGCUCCGAGGCAUCGCGUCUCGCUCUGAGGCUCAGUUGCCUCCGCGGCUAGGCGGCGUCACACCCUGGACGGGGCAGAGGCUAGCUCCGCCUCCUCCACGGCUAGGCGAACUCGCGUCUUGCCGGAGCUGCUCGUCCCCGACGGCUAACCUAAGGCGAGGCGAGAGUUUUUUUUACAAGCGAGACGAGAGCUCAAGCGAGCGAUGAAUCGGUGGAUGGCGUAGGAUUGGGCCGCUUGUGUUCGUG
rnacentral:rRNA from 1 species